CAAGGACUUGCCCUUAAGCUCUCUCUUUCUUGGGGUAAGAGGAAAGCGAAGGGACCUCAGGUCAAGAUUUCUACAGCCCAAGAGAAGCUCAGCUUUAGCUAAUUAGGCACCUCCAGCACACAUGUGAACAGCUAGCGCCAAUAGCUUUGGUCAGCAUUAAUAUGCUGGGUGUAGAUCUUCUCCCUCCAAGACUCCAUACAUUCAGCGUCUUAAGAAGCAGACCCAGAGUUCCAGGGCACAGCCUCAGCAGCCCAAGGCCAGCUCCAAGGUCACUGGCCUUUCCUGAUUUGACCUUCACUUGGGAUCAAGUCUUCCUGAACCAGGUACAAACUAAAGCUCCAGCCUGAUCAAUCCAGCAGCCCCGGAGCCUCAAGAUCACAGAACUCCCAGCUAGGUCCUACUGCCAAAGCAGGGCUGCUUCUUAAUACACAGCCCUCUUCCUUCCAGAAACAAGCUGAAUCCGAGAAGCCCAGGCAGGCUGUGCUGCUAGCAUCCUGUGUAUUUCGAGUUCCCCAAGGACAGAGGUCAGGGAAUAAGAGCUGAGUGAGACCUCCCAAAGCAGAUCACAAAGAGAAGGGGACACUGCACCAUGGAGGUGACACAGGCCAGUGGCCACGGUGCUGGACCUGGGGCUGAGAGGACCCACAUGUAUAUCCUGGCCGAUUUAGGUAUCUUAGACUUUCUGUGCCUCACUUUCCUUAUCUGUGAAAUCAGCAUUCUGAUCAUGACUAAAUAAAAAUUGCUGCCAUUGAUCAAGGGCACUGACUGGACCAGGCACUGUGCUAACCUUGUGCCUGGCACUGUCUCAUUUAAUCUUCACAGCAGCCCGAUGAAGACAUGGGGGCUCAGGAUGGUUAACUGACCUCUACGUAGCAGCACAGUCAGCAUCUGAACUUGUAAGAGUGUCACAUAGGUUAAAAUCAUUUUUCCUGGCCCAGUGCGGUGACUCACGCCUGUAAUCCCAGCACUUUGGGAGGCCGAGAUGGGCUGAUCACCUGAGGUCAGGAAUUUGAGACCAGCCUGGCCAACAUGGUGAAACCCCAUCUCUACUAAAAAUACAAAAACAUUAGCCAGGCAUGGUGGCGGGUGCCUGUAAUCCCAGCUACUGGGGAGGCUGAGGCAGGAGAAUUGCUUGAAUCCGGGAGGCUGAGGUUGCAGUGAGCUGAGAUUGCGCCAUUGUGCUCCAGCCUGGGUGACAAGAGCAAAACUCCAUCCAAAAAAACCCCACAUUUUCCCAAAGCAAUAAUAGACUGGGUUAAACCAGUCAGUCUCCCACAAGAGAAGUUCCUGAACAUGAAUAACCCGAUUUUUUUGAAGGCAAGUUGGGCCAUGGUUAUCUCUCUUUGAGGACUGGCUGAGGACUGAGUGGGUGGGUUCACUGUGUGCCACAACAGCAGGGUUGAUUUAUGCCAGGCAUGAGUGGCUUACAGCCGACUGAUGCCCCUUUCUAAUGGGUCACAGCCCUGUUCUGGUUAUUGGCUAGUGCCCUAUUCUGGUUGGUUGGCACCAGAAGCACACUGGUUUUAAACAUUUUGCACAUCAGCCCUGCAUCACAGUGCCUGGCAGUCAUUUAUUCCUUCAUGGUAUAUGUAAUAAGCACCCUCUCUGGACGGGCCCUGUGCUGGGAGAGGGGAUUCACCUGCAAACGGAGCUGACCUGGUUUCUGUCUUAUUGAUACUGAUAGUCUAGUGGGAAAGACAUAACAGGCAAAUAAAUAAAAAUUAACACACAUGAAAGUAAGAGAUGUCAAAUAAACAGUUUCCAAAAAGAAACCAACAGCUGAAACUUUCUUUAGAUUGAGUGGUCAGUAGCAGCCUCUCUAAGUGGUGAAGUUUGAGUUGAGACCUGAAGGAAGAGAAUAAGCCAGGCUUAUAAGGAGAAAAGGAGAGAGGGGGGGAAGCACAGUCUAUGCAGAGGGGACAGUAUGUGCAAAGCUUCUGACGAAAGAGAAGAUCCGGCACGUCCAG
rnacentral:lncRNA from 1 species